rnacentral:lncRNA from 1 species
UUUGGGGGAGACAUGGCUAUAUGUCAGGCCUGUGAGAACCCAAUGCAGGAACAGCAUGUGAUAUGAAAAUGGAAACUGUCAGAUUGAAACCAUACAUGGCGAAGUCAAAAAGAGACUCUUUCUUGCACUGUUUCAGAGAGUGCUAAACUCAGAAAGGCAAAACAAGGUUAGAAUGAAGCCCAUGCAAAGAAAAUAUGGACCUGAAGAAAAACAAGCUAUGGACUAUCUUCUGUCUCAUGCUAGCAGUGGAAUAGGAAAAGGACUCAAAAGACUUCUACUGGCCAUAAUGAAGUACCUGUUACUAUAUUUGCUUUCCUACCAUAAGCAACUAUAAAACUGGACAAUAUAUAGGCAACUGAUCUCAUGCAUUUCAAGCAGCACAGGAUUCUGAUAAUUAACAGAAGGAAAGCACAUGAGGAUAAUACUGGAGGCUGCCAUGGGAGAAGUCUGCACAAAAAGAGCAAGUUUAAGAGCUUCAGGAGUCAUAAAUGGCUUGAGAAGAUUAUGCUAGAGAUUGAAGCAGAUGGAAGAUUCUAGAAACAGAAAGCAUUCUUUUCAUUGGUGUGAGUCUUGAAUAUAAAUGGAAAUCAGAGGUCUGUAAUAGCAGGCCAGUGUGGAUAAGGCAGUAAGGUUUUGAGUCUGAGGAGAUGGCUGGGGGCAGUUUGUAGACUUAUUGUCAGUCCAGUGUAGAAUUUGAGAAUAUAGCCAGGGCUUAAGGUUCCAGUUUCAAAUUAAAGACAAAAGAAAUCAGCAAUACCAAAAUGAAGACAGAAGCCUGGGAAUUGUGCCUCAAGAUCUGGACUGAGAGGACAUUUCUACACAACAGCUCCCCUAAGGGCAGGGCUAUGACCGUUGUUGCUAAGCUGUCACCAUCUCUCCUUCCCUAUUAGACUGGCUUCUGUGGGGUAAUUAACCAGUACAAGGAUGUAUGGGAAGCUCUUCUGAGAAGACCUCACAUUAAAACAAAGUGUUGUUAUUCAAGCUGGGUCAUAUUUGGGCACCUUGUUAUUACAGCUUUGAGGAGGGAUAUCAAACUGUCAUAUUCACCUAUGAGUUUAGGAUCAGUGGAGGGAAGAGAACAGAAGGGCCACACAGAAGGGGAAGCUCAGGCACAGAUGGCCAGCAGCCAGGCUCGCUGUAGAGGUGAGAUUAUCAAACAUGACCAUACAAAGGCUGCAGAGGCAAGAUGCUUCCAAUAGCCAGGAAGAAUGUGGGCAGGGGAGAAUUUGGUCCAUUUGAAGUCAGAAUUAUACAUGAAGACACUUGUAAUCAAAUAAAUGCAGAACAUAUUUGUAAAGGGAAAUAAAGUAGGAGUUAAUUUUUUUUAACAAAUUAUGAUUGAAAUCUAAAAUACCAAGAUUAACAUUCUACAAGGGUAUUAAUACAACAAUGCCAUUUUAACUCAAAGAAUGUCUAAAUAUUUGUACAAAAUAGCUGCUUACUGAUGCUUGUGAAAAGGAAGAGAUUGCUUCCCAGCACACUGUAUCAGAGAGCCAUGAUAAUAGCCAUAGCUUAAGCAGACAAAGUAAAAUGUAAAAAUCCAAAAAA